CUACGGGCUGCUGCAGUGGGGAAUAUUGCGCAAUGGGCGAAAGCCUGACGCAGCAACGCCGUGUGAGGGAUGAAGGCUUUCGGGUCGUAAACCUCUGUCGGAAGGGAAGAACGGGCAUUGGUCUAAUAGGCCUUUGUUUUGACGGUACCUUUAGAGGAAGCACCGGCUAACUCCGUGCCAGCAGCCGCGGUAAUACGGAGGGUGCAAGCGUUAUUCGGAAUUACUGGGCGUAAAGCGCACGUAGGCGGCCUGGUAAGUCAGGGGUGAAAUCCCACGGCUCAACCGUGGAACUGCCUUUGAAACUGCAGGGCUUGAAUCCUGGAGAGGGUGGCGGAAUUCCUGGUGUAGGAGUGAAAUCCGUAGAUAUCAGGAGGAACACCGGUGGCGAAGGCGGCCACCUGGACAGGUAUUGACGCUGAGGUGCGAAAGUGUGGGGAGCAAACAGGAUUAGAUACCCCGGUAGUC
rnacentral:rRNA from 1 species